GAACUCUGUGAUCUGAAGGUGGGCAGGGGGCUGGCUGGGAGGGGACUUGAAUGGUGGCUUGGGAAGGAAGUCCUUCUCUGAAGGUGCCCAAGAAAGGGUCAGCCAAAGAGAGCUGCCGACCCAUGUGCGGGAAGCCUAGGGGACGGGCUACAGAGAGCGAUGAAUGGGAGCCAUUUGAAAGAAAGGAUGUGACAAAUUAAAGCGCAAUAAUGACUGUGGCUCAGGACUCAGAGCUUUUAUCCAGCCUUGAGCUAUUCUUGCUCUGCGUGGGGGAGGGAGGGCUGUAGGCUGCUUCGUCUUCCGAGUAAGGAUGUGAAAAUGAAGAGGAGCCUGGUCUGAGGCUGAGGGGGGAGACAGCAGAUGAGUGCGUGGCCCAGGAGCCAGAGGAAAAGGAGCUGAAGAAAGAGCCUGGUGGGUACCUUUGUGCAAAUUGGGAAAAGAUGCCCUUCUUCUGGAAAUGAGCAGCCAGGCCAGGAUGCACAGUCUCAUUGGUCAGAACUACUUGCCUGGUUCAACCACAGGGCUCUGUGGGGGACAGGGCAGUGAAAAGGACCUUUCACAGAGAUUACUCAUAAGAAACAAGGCUAAAUCUCCCCAGAGGAAAACUACAAGGGUCCUACCGCCGGGGUAGUGACGAGCACAUGCACGCGUGAGUCUGGUUGCUCUCAUCUUUGAAUUCUCUGCUGAAAUAGCACGUCCUCACAGGGAACUUGCCCAACCACCCUCUUCAAAGCAGAAGCCCCAGGUUCAUUUCUGACCUAGCAUCCCAUUUAUUUUCUUCAGAACAUGUGCUAUAAUAUGUAAAUAGCUUCUUUAUUGUUCACUGUUAAAUUUUUCUAUCUAGAAUGAAAUGUGUUUAUUGCAGGAAAAUGGAAUCUUGUAAGAACGGUUUGUCCAGAUCACUUCGGGAUCCCCAGCACCUGGCACGUGGUGGCACCCACUAGCUUCUCAAUGAAAGCUUGUUCAAUAAAUGAAUGACCCCCACUAUUGGUGAGAGUGUCUGAAUUUAGACACCGUUUAA
rnacentral:lncRNA from 1 species